rnacentral:rRNA from 1 species
GGCGGCGUGCCUAAUACAUGCAAGUCGAACGCUUCUUUUUCACCGAACUUCGGUUCAUCGAAAAAGAGGAGUGGCGAACGGGUGAGUAACACGUGGGUAACCUGCCCAUCAGAAGGGGAUAACACUUGGAAACAGGUGCUAAUACCGUAUAAUGCUUUUUCUCGCAUGAGAGCAAGCUGAAAGGCGCUUUUGCGUCACUGAUGGAUGGACCCGCGGUGCAUUAGCUAGUUGGUGAGGUAACGGCUCACCAAGGCCACGAUGCAUAGCCGACCUGAGAGGGUGAUCGGCCACACUGGGACUGAGACACGGCCCAGACUCCUACGGGAGGCAGCAGUAGGGAAUCUUCGGCAAUGGACGAAAGUCUGACCGAGCAACGCCGCGUGAGUGAAGAAGGUUUUCGGAUCGUAAAAACUCUGU